rnacentral:lncRNA from 1 species
CAUUUUAAGUUAGAUGAUUUAAUAUGGAUAGUGAAAUUCAAUAAUUGCUUUAUUAAUCGAUGGCUUCAUUCAUAAAAUUAUUGAAUAUCCUGGUUUUGCAGUCACAAAAUUCAAAAUCUAAAAGAAUAUAUGAAUGCGUGGCAUAUAUAAUUUUAGAGGACAACAGUUUCAAUAACCAGCUCAUACUCCAAUUGGAUGAAUGGUCAAUGUACUCUUAUAUUUGGCAUAGUAAGUUAAACAAAAGUCAGUUUUGGCAUAAAGACAUAGCUCAAUAUACUGACAUUUUACAUUGUGUUUUAUGCCUGUGAGAUCCAGCCUUUGGUAGUCUUAUUUUUUC